UCAAACGCCAUCAUUUUUACUUUUUUUGUUAAAUUUUAUUGAAUGAAAGCAAAAAAAUGUCGGAGAUAGCAUCAAACUUUAGAAUAAGUUUUAAUUUGUUCGAAUUGGUCACCUUCGGCACUAAUUAUGGCCUUCAAACAACCGUCACACACUGCUUGAAUGUUGCUCUGCGGUAUUUUGGUCCAUUCCCGGCGAAGCGCUUGCUUGAGGUGAUCGACACUUUGGUAUUUUUUAGUGCCAUCUUGCUUUCCAAAAUACACCAGACACAAUAGUCCAACGGAUUGGUAUCCGGUGAUUUUGGUGGCCAUUGUGGGCUGGAAAUGAAGCGAGAAACCUCAUUUUCUAACCAUUCUCUGGUGGUGCGCGCUGAGUGCGAUGGUGCUGAGUCCUGUUGGAAUGUCCAAGGUCUGCGGCCAAAAUGUUUGCGUGCCCAAGGCUUUAAUACACCCUCCAGAAUAUUUUCGCGAUAAUAUUCGGCUUUUAUUCUGCUGCCACGGUCGAUUAAUACGAGCGAAGAGCGACCAUCGGCUGUUAUGGCGGCCCACGCCAUCACCAUGGAGGUGCUUGAGUUCUGAUGGUCAACCGAAGAUGCUCAUUUUCAGCUGACCACUUUGGCAAGUAAACACGAUCAUUUUGUUUGUUUACAAACUGUCGGACAACGAAUGUUUUCUCAUCGGAGAAAACCAAAUUGGGCAGUUCACCACAUUCGGCCAAGCGAAGCAACUCUUUAGCUCUUUUAAGUCUAUUUUCUUUCGGUUGCGGUGUAAGUUCUUACAAUUUUUGGAAUUUCCAUGGCUUUACCCCGAUAUCACGGUAACGAGCGAUGGUACGAGACACAAAAGAUUUAUUCACAUUUAAAUGCUGGAGUGCUCUAAUGAAAGCCACUUGUGAUUUUCCAGCCAAAUAUAAAGAAAUCACACUAUCACGCUUGAAUUCCACCACGAAUAACUUUUUUUCUGGAAACUUCUCACCAAAAUCCUUUUGUACGCUUGUAAACAAUAUAAUGAGCUGUCACUGGAAUAAUUUUAACAGCUGUCGGACGAGUGGCUUAGAAAUGGCAGCAGUCUGAAGUUGGUUUUUCAUCUCACCCUGUAU